ACUGAAACCCAAAAUAAACGUUGGAGCAGCGCGGUUAGUGUAACGUUUUACGGCGCCAGCAACCCUGGUUCAACUCCCGCUCUGUCUACAAGGAGCUUGUAUGCGAGGGUUUCCCUCACAUUUCAGAGACGUACGGGUCAGUAGGCUAAUUGGUCACAUGGGUGCAGCCGGCUCCGGAGCCUGGACAGCGAAGAAAACGGCUGGGAAUCUCGGCAGCCGAAAGGGAUGCAUGUCGGCCAGACAAUCUACUCCAGCACAGCUCCCUGGUUCUCGGUAACAGGCAUGUGAGUUGGUUACGAUGGCAAAGGCAUCACCUACUUUGAUUUCUCAGCGAGGAAAUUUGUGGUUGGUGUUCCACAGCUGGAAGCUCUCCUCAGUGGCCUGAACCACCACAGCUCCUGCACUGAUGCUGAAGUCAACUGUACUGGGCAGUUUGUCCCUAUGAUUACAGAGAGUGAAAAUGGGAUGUUCUGACCCUGAAUGGUUUCAAGAUGAAAUCGAAGCAAGAGGCUGAGAGUGAAGGACUAAAGACAUCUCAGAGAGAAGCCAUUUUCUUUUACUGAUCGGGGAAGAGGCGAGACUGCGCAGGCGCGUGACGUAGUGCACCAAAGGUUUCAAAAAAGACCGCCAUAUACAGCGGCCAUCGUCGGAGUGGACUGAGUCAGAGUGGGACGGUUUUGGCUCAACAGGCUUCGGCGUGAACAGGCAGAGGUGAGGGUAGGUUCCGGUUGUUGGCUCUGCACCGGUCCGUUAGCCGCUAGACUCCUCUCUGUAAGCUGACUCGUCGUUCUUGCUGCUGAGACCCACCGCGGUCGUGUCAUUGGUGAACUACUAUCUGCAGAGGCGUAAUGUCCUGUAGCCAGUCCUUGGGGAGCUCACUGAUGCUGUCAUCACCUCCGCUGAGGUUCCCAGCGAAGCCAAGGAUGACAAUUUGGACCCUGGACACAGCAGCUUCAGACAUCCCGGAUGUAAGGAGGAACCAGAGCCAGUCCUGGAAGAGCGGUGGUACGAAAUAGAUCUCACUUCCCUCUCAGAUGCAGAAGGUGUGUGCGUUUCUGCCACCUCUCCGUGCCAGGUGGAGGGAGCACAUCAAAGGGCAGCUGCUGCCUUACGCAAAAGACUGUCCUCGCUUAACUGCCUCCCCCGACUUCUUCCGUGGACAGACAUCAAUCAGGGAGGUGGGGGGGCAGUGUCCAAGAAAAAUCCUUCCACCAUCUUAGCAUUCGUUCAACAUACCUCAGUGCGUAUUAAGACAGCUUUCCAGAAGACACUGCAUUGCUGACUUAAGAGAGACCAACAGGUUUCUGAGACUUGAAACUUAGCAGAAAUGCCUGACUGUUAAGUAAUGUUGCUGUAAAUAAUUGCUUGUUAAUGCAUCACUAUCCUAAAUUAUUUCAGUAUAAAUCAUCAUAGACAGUUAUUGCCCUCAUGGCAGUUCAUUAGUUUGUUUUGUCAUUGUUAUUUGCACUGGGAUACGAUAAAAACACCUUUUGCUUUGUAUAUUUUCCAGACAGAUCAUUCCGCACACAAGUCCACUGGGGUAGUAAAAAGAUGAAACAAUACAGAAUAUAAACUUGGGGGCCACUUUAUUAGGUACAGGAGUGGAACCUGGUGUGGCCUUCUGCUGCUAUAACCCAUCCAUUUCAAGGUUCGAGGUGUUGUGAGUUCAGAGAUGCUUUUCUGCACACCGCUGUUUAAAUGCAUGGUUAUUUGAGUUACUGUCAGCUUGAACCAGUCUGGCCAUUCGCUGACCUCUCUCAUUGAUGAAGGCAUUGAUGAACUGAGCUGCCACUCACUAGAUAUUUUUGUUUUGUUUUUUCUAUGUAAGCUCUAGAGCAGGGGUUCCCAACCUUUUUUUUUAAAUGCAGUGGACCCUACUGUUAACCAAGGGGUCUGUAGACCCUGGUUUGGGCACCUCUGCUCUAGAGACUGUUGUGUGUGAAAGAGAUCAGUGGUUUUUGAGGUACUCAAACCACCCUGACUGGUAUGAACAACCAUUCCACGGUCAAAGUCACUUAGAUCACGACAAAUGAACCUCUUAACAAUGCUUUUAUGCAUUGAGUGAUUGGCUGAUUAGAUAACUGCAUUAACAAACAGGUGCAUGAGUAUACCAAACGAAGUGGCCACUGGGGGAGAAUACAGUGCAGGCCAACAACCAAAGUGCAAGGGCCAAGUUGAGGUAGAUUGGGAGAUCAAAAUUCUCCUUUUAGCACAUGAGAGGACUAUUCAAGAGUCUGACAACAGUGGGAUAGAAACUGUCCUUGAGGCUGGCGACAAGUGCUCUUAAACAUUUAUAACCUGCCUGACAGGAAUGAGAAGAGAGAAAGACGAAGUUGGGAUGGGUCCUUGGCUGCUUUCCAGAGACAGUGGCUGGUUUGCGUGAAGGGCUGGGCUAUGUUCACAUUUCUCUGCAGCCUGGCAGAGUAGUUCCACACCAAAUCAUGCUGUAUCUGUAUAUGAAAACUGAUAAGUCAUCGGGGACACGUUGAAUUUCUAUAUAGAUUCCUGAGAAAGUGCUAUUGUGCCUUCUUGGUGGCAGCAUCAAUGUGGCUGGACCAGGACAAAUACUUGGUAAUCUUCACACUCCAGAACUGUAAACUCUCAACUAGCUCCCCCCUCUUUCCAAGACUGAGGGGUGGGCAGUGCAAAAUCUUUCCCUGUAACGCAGAACAUCUAAACCCUGGAGGCCCAGUUGAAGAGCGAGUGGGAAUAUGAUGAUAAAGAUUUUCACGCAGAGCAUGGUUGCAGUCUGGAGUUGUUGCCCAAGUAUGUGGUGGGGUCAUGAUUAUAAAGUACCUGGAGCAGCCCCUGAAUAGACAAGGCACAGAGGGCUAUAUAUUACUUGCUUGGAAAUGGUAAUAUAGUUCAUCCAAUAUAUGAACUAUAUUGGAUCGAUUGUGAGAAUGCUGCAAGUGUGCAUAAACCUGAUGGUGCUCCAGUGUGAUGCUAAAGGUGCUGCACUAUUGUGUUACAAACAGAAACUGCAGGUCAGGCAGCAUCUGUGGAAAUGAAUCAACAGUUAAUGUUUCUGUCUGAGAUCUUUCAUCAGGACUGGAAAGGAUGGGGGAAGAUGCCAGAAUAAAAAGGUGGGGGGGGGGGGGAAGGAAAGGACAAGCUCGAAGGUAAUAGGUGAAGCCAGAAGGGCGGACCAAAGGUACGGGGGAGGGUAUCUAGAGGGAGGUGUUUGGUAGUUGAGAAGAGUUGCUCCUCCAACCUGAGAGUGGUCUCAUCCUGGCACAAGAGGAGGCCAGGGACCGACAUGGCGGAAUGAAAAUGGAAAUCAUGCUUGGCCACCAGGAGGUUUCACUUCUGGUGCAUGGAGCAGGGGUACUCGACAAAACAUUUUACGAUGGGUCUCAUCAAUGUAGAGGAGGCUGCAUCAGGACCAUUGGAUACAGUAGCAGAUGAAGUGUUGUCUCACUUGGAAGGACUGUUUGGGGCCCUGAAUAGAGGUAAGUGAGGAGGUGAAUGGGCAGGACUGCUUGCACAGGUAAGUACCUGGAACAGCCCCUGAAUAGACAAGGCACAGAGGGCUAUAUAUUACUUGCUUGGAAAUGGGUUAAAUGCUUUUGGGUACUUGAUAGUUUGCAUGGACAAUGUUGGCCAAAUAAAUAUCUGUCCUGAUUGGUAGAGGAAUCAAUUUCCUUUUGGAGAUAGUUCAGCAGCUUGCCUUCUGUUAGAACUUUAAAAUGUGCUCUGUUCCACAAUACAGCAAAUGCUAAAAAUACAUUGUAUAUAAACGAUUGUGAGAAUGAAGCAAGUGUGCAUAAACCAGAUGGCGCUCCAGUGUGAUGCUAACAGUACUGUAUUAUUGUUAUGUUGUCCAUGCAAACCUGCCUGCCAGGAUAUUGGUUCCCCCUUGCAUUGAAUUGCAACCCGUCCUUUUUGUACAGGUCACGCCUGUCCCAAUGUUCCAGAAAUCUGAAUCCCUGCCCCCUGCUCCAAUCACUCAGCUACACAUUUAUCCUCUAUUCCUAUACUCAUGUCACGUGGCACAGGCAGUAUCCUGAGAUUACUACCUUUGAGGCCUGCUUCUCAACUUCCUUCCUAACUCCCUGUAGUCUGUUUUUAGGGCCUCUUCCCUUUUCCUACCUAUGUCGAUGGUACCAGUAUGUACCACAACCUCUGGCUGCUCACCUUCUCACUUCAGGAUAUUGUGGACGCAAUCAGAAACAUCCCCAACACUGACUCCUGCGGCACGCCGCUAAUCACCAGGCUCCGCUCCUAGAAACAACCUCAACCACCGCGCUCUAUUUCCUAUCUUGGAGCCAAUUUUGAAUCCACCCAACUCACUCUUCCUGGAUAUGCUUCCAUCUUUUCCUCAUCAGACAGGGUUCUCUGAGCUUUCCAGGCUUACCUUUCACUCUGACAGAAACAUGCAACCCCAGGCAUGGUGUCACACUCAUAAUGGCCAUUUGUUCCCUUCAUACAUGAUCUCCCAGUCAGCAUCCGCUAAAUCCUAUCUAAUUCCCCCAAAAUUAGCCCUGUACCAGUUUAGGACCUUAAUCUACGUUCUUACGCAGGGAGCAGGAAUGACUGUGGUACUGAGCCAUGUUGAACCACAGUAAAACACCAAGUCACUUACAGCUCUCCUCCCCCUACCUCCCAACUUCUGCAACCCAGCAGAGGUUGUAUGCACACUCAAUAUUUGUUCUCCAAACUCAUGACUCCCCUAUAGAUCAAAUCUAUCUUGAUCCUGAAUACGUUCACGGCCCUGAGCUUUCUGGAGCACAGAGAGUAAACAUUCACAGUCCACUGGAAAAGAAGGUCCUCAUCUCCAUUCUUAAUGAGAAAUAUUUAUUCUGAAUCUCUGCCUUCUGCAUGAGAGUUCCCUCAGGUUAGGCCACAACACUAUUAUUAUGUUCAGUUAUGGUCGCCUCAUUAUAGGAAGGAUGUGGAAGCUUUAGAGAGGGUGCGGAGGAGAUUUAUCGGGAUGCUGCCAGGUUUAGAGAGCGUGUCUUAUGCAGAAAGACUUUUCUUGUUGGAGUGAAGGAGGGUCAGAGAUGACUUCAUAGAAGUGUACAAGAUGGUAUCGCAUGCAAAGCCACUCAAUCUAUGUCUUAUUUUUUUCACUUGUCUCAUUCAAUAAUUGGGUCCAGGGUCCAUAUUGGAAUCCUUGGCUUCACCAGGAACCUCAGCAGUUGUGAGGACAGCAUCAGUGAAUAAAUAUAUAAUCCACGAUGAUUGCUCGACAGUGAAGGCAGUAGGGGACAGACUCAGAGCAGAAUGAAGGGUGAACAACGUGCUGACUGGGUGACAAGGUUGAUCAGGUAACUGUGAAGGGAGCAGAUACAAAAUGGCGACAAUCGAUACCUCAUUGACAACGUCAGAUGUGGGAGAUGCAGUAAGGCAAGGGUUAACACAAUAUCCAGGCAAGGUUAGAUUGCAAAUAGAGUGCAGGCAGCCCAGGCAAAAUGGUCUUUGAAGAACUCCUGUCCUUGAACACCAGUGGUCUGGAGAUGUGAUCAGUGAUCCAAGACACACACCAACAAAUGCUUCAAAUCAUCAUCCAUGGUCAGCUUGUAGUUUCUGUUGACUUCUGUCACCUGUAUUGUGAAUGGAGAUUGUUUUUUCAAGUCAAGAAAUUAAGCAUAACGAUUUACCAAAUGGUUAAUAUCUGUAACUGCUAAUCAAUUCUGUAUAAAAAUGGAACUUCUCUGCUCAGAAAUCAGAAUAGUGUGGUGACAUGGGGCCAACCUGUUCUCCUUGUGCACAAAUAAAAAAAGUAUG